rnacentral:tRNA from 1 species
GCGUAGCACAAAGGUCAGGGCAGUGGACUUAUAAUCCAUCGAUCAAGGUUCGAGUCCUUGCGC